GCCUGCCCUGUGACUAUGGGUUUAACGGCCGCGGUAUUUUGACCGUGCGAAGGUAGCGCAAUCACUUGUCUUUUAAAUGAAGACCUGUAUGAAUGGCAUCACGAGGGCUUAGCUGUCUCCUCUCCCAAGUCAAUGAAAUUGAUCUGUCCGUGCAGAAGCGGGCAUAAGUACAUAAGACGAGAAGACCCUAUGGAGCUUUAGACACCAGGCAGAUCACGUCAAGUAACCUUAAAUUAAUAAGUGGAAACGCAGUGACCCCUAGCCCAUAUGUCUUUGGUUGGGGCGACCGCGGGGGAAAAUAAAGCCCCCAUGUGGACUGGGGGCACUGCCCCCACAGCCGAGAGCUACAGCUCUAAGCACCAGAAUUUCUGACCAAAAAUGAUCCGGCGAACGCCGAUCAACGGACCGAGUUACCCUAGGGAUAACAGCGCAAUCCUCUCCCAGAGUCCAUAUCGACGAGGGGGUUUACGACCUCGAUGUUGGAUCAGGACAUCCUAAUGGUGCAGCCGCUAUUAAGGGUUCG
rnacentral:rRNA from 1 species